rnacentral:misc_RNA from 1 species
UUUCCGUAGGUGAACCUGCGGAAGGAUCAUUAUUGAAUGAAACACUUCUGGCUUUAUGCUGUUGUGCUGGCCCUUUGGGCAAAGUGCACACGGCUCUGGUCACUUGUUUCUUCUGUUCCACCUGUGCACUGCCUGUAGACACGCUGUGUCUAUGAUAUUUGUUAACACACAACAAUGUUAGUUGGCAUGUUAUAUAUAAUAAUAAAAUAUACAACUUUCAACAACGGAUCUCUUGGCUCUC